CACGCUGACAGGCCUCGCUUUUCAUCUCUGCAGCUGCUCGUGUGGCUUUGCUCCCGGAGCUUCUGAGUUGAGCCAUUCGAGGUCACCUCUGGGCGCCUCCUGAGGCCUGUUUCCUCCUUGGAACAAGGUGGCAAAAGAUUCAGCUGGACCAUGAGUGGCCACAAAGGCUGCAAAGUUGUCAGUACCCAUACUUCAGCAGGUGAAGAACUUCAGGAACCAGCGAGAAAGCACCGUGCUAAAAGACGGUAAAAGUUGCCAACAGAGAACAGAGAGGAUCGGAACCCAGGAUCCUGAUUCGUCAGUUUCUCCAAGCCAACCUGCUGCUCCCUCAAGUACACCAAAGGUUCCAGGAUGUGUAUAGAGGGGCCGUUAUUUAGCUCGCUACGCUGUGGAAGGCACCUCAGUGGCUUUUCAGCUUCCCACUAGGGAAGCUUUAUCUGAUGGCGUUCUAUCUUCUCCCUUAUGACUGGGAUUCAUGUCUUCAUAAAAGAAGCCCCAGAGAACACUUGUCUCUUUUACUACAAGACAUAGCAAGAAUAUGCCAUCACUGAGCCAGGAAGCGGCUGUCAUCAGAUACUGAAUCUGAUGGCUUUGUUUUGAGAUAGGGCCACCUCAGGAAGCCCAGACUGGCUUCAGACUCGUAUGUAGCUGAGAAUAACCUUCAGUUUCUGAUCU